rnacentral:rRNA from 1 species
GACGAACGCUGGCGGCGUGCCUAAUACAUGCAAGUCGAACGCUGAAGGAGGAGCUUGCUCUUCUGGAUGAGUUGCGAACGGGUGAGUAACGCGUAGGUAACCUGCCUGGUAGCGGGGGAUAACUAUUGGAAACGAUAGCUAAUACCGCAUAACAGUAGAUGUUGCAUGACAUUUGCUUAAAAGGUGCAAUUGCACCACUACCAGAUGGACCUGCGUUGUAUUAGCUAGUUGGUGGGGUAACGGCUCACCAAGGCGACGAUACAUAGCCGACCUGAGAGGGUGGUCGGCCACACUGGGACUGGGACCAGGCACAGACUCCUACGGGAGGCAGCAGUAGGGAAUCUUCGGCCAGGGGCGGAAGUCUGACCGAGCACCGCCGCGGGAGGGAAGAAGGUUUUCGGAUCGUAAAGCUCGGUUGUAAGAGAAGAACGAGUGUGAGAGUGGAAAGUUCACACUGUGACGGUAUCUGACCAGAAAGGGACGGCUAACUACGUG